rnacentral:rRNA from 1 species
UGGGGAAUAUUGCACAAUGGGCGCAAGCCUGAUGCAGCAACGCCGCGUGAGGGACGACGGCCUUCGGGUUGUAAACCUCUUUUAGUAGGGAAGAAGCGAAAGUGACGGUACCUGCAGAAAAAGCACCGGCUAACUACGUGCCAGCAGCCGCGGUAAUACGUAGGGUGCGAGCGUUGUCCGGAAUUAUUGGGCGUAAAGAGCUCGUAGGCGGUCUGUCGCGUCUGCUGUGAAAACCCGAGGCUCAACCUCGGGCCUGCAGUGGGUACGGGCAGACUAGAGUGCGUAGGGGAGAAUGGAAUUCCUGGUGUAGCGGUGGAAUGCGCAGAUAUCAGGAGGAACACCGAUGGCGAAGGCAGUUCUCUGGGCCGUAACUGACGCUGAGGAGCGAAAGCGUGGGGAGCGAACAGGAUUAGAUACCCUGGUAGUCCACGCCGUAAACGUUGGGCGCUAGAUGUGGGGACCAUUCCACGGUUUCCGUGUCGCAGCUAACGCAUUAAGCGCCCCGCCUGGGG